AAGGUACUUUCUCUGAUUCCAGAAAACUAAGUGAAGGCACAGGAGUGUUUUCUUGCAAGGAGCAAAAAGGCUGUGUACUCAAAUCAAACUUUCUCAAGCACAUCUGACAUCCCUUUGGAUUCCCACAGGGAACAGUCCCAGUGGGGCUGCUCUGCCACCUGGGCGAGGAGCCAAUGACCUGAGUGAUUCUGCAGCCUCGUAACCCAAAUGUUUUUCCACCAGUGAAGAGAGGAAGCAGGGGGCUGCUUCAAUUAAUGCUGUGCAGUGGGGAUAAGUGAUGCAUUUAAAGGAUUAACUCUUCCUUUUCCUUCGCCUAUCCUCUCUUUAGCAUGACAGCCAACAGAGAGUGUGAUAGAGCAAUCUCUAUCUUGUAUGUGACCACAAGAGAUUAAUUAAACAGUAAGCCCUAAUUACCGAGGCUAAGGCUGACCGACUUACCGUGCCUUGUAAAAUAGCUGAAUACUUAAUUUACGCUCCAGUGUGGACAUAACUUUCACCAUUAGCUGAAUAAACAACGAGCAC
rnacentral:lncRNA from 7 species